GACGAACGCUGGCGGCGUGCUUAACACAUGCAAGUCGAACGGUGAAGGGGCCUGCUUUUGUGGGCCCUGGAUGAGUGGCGAACGGGUGAGUAACACGUGAGUAACCUGCCCCCUUCUUCUGGAUAACCGCAUGAAAGUGUGGCUAAUACGGGAUAUUCUGGGUCUGUCGCAUGAUGGGUCUGGGAAAGAUCGCGCCGUUGGGUGUUGUUGGUGGGGGAUGGGCUCGCGGCAUAUCAGCUUGUUGGUGGGGUGAUGGCCUACCAAGGAGGUGACGGGGAGCCGAACUGAGGGGGUGGACGGUCACACUGGGACGGAGACACGGCCCAGACACCUACGGGAGGCAGCAGUGGGGAAUAGUGCACAAUGGGCGCAAGCCUGAUGCAGCGACGCCGCGUGAGAGAUGGAGGCCUUCGGGUUGUAAACCUCUUUCGCCAGUGAAGCAGGCCUGCUCCCUGUGGGUGGGUUGACGGUAGCUGGAUAAGAGGCGCCGGCUAACUACGUG
rnacentral:rRNA from 1 species